rnacentral:lncRNA from 1 species
GGAACUCCAAAAUAGGAGAGGCGGCAAAAUGUGAAACGCAGAGAAGUCUGCAUUUCCUUUCGCCCUUUCUUUCUCGCACCCACAGUUACACACACAUACACGCACGAACUCCACACAGUACUCAUAGAAGAUCCAUAAGUAACCGUUGCGCACUUGCAAUCACGAAAUCUCUCUCUCAUCCCCUGCAGCUUUUCUGAAUCGCACUUUCAGCUUCUCGUUGUUCGGAAGUUUUCCGAGUGUUGUUGUUGGUAAUUGAUGUUUCUAUUUUCAAUCUACAGCAUUGAUUUUAUUAGUAUUUGAGAUAUCUGUUAAUUACUUGAAAAACAUGCCAAUUAAUAGAUGCAUUUUGAAGUGACUGAUGUGUGAAUUAUAGUCAAAUUGAAGUUGUAAUUAACGUAUUCAUAUAAACAUCAAUGGCGAUUUGUAGAGGAAUCCGCGAUAAGUAGCCGCCGCUUUUUGCGUGCACUGAACAUGUUUGUAGGUGUGCGUAGCGAUAUAUGUUUUUAUGAUUGUAUUAGAACAACUCAUAAUUGCGUUAUACCUUGAUAUUCCUAAGCUACCAGGUUUUGUAAACCUGCAAAUUAAAGUGUAAAGUAGUUGUAUGUCAAAAGUUACACAUCCAUUGUCAUGUCGAACUCAAGGCAUUUGGCUUGAAUAUGCCAUUAGAUGGAGUAUAUAUAUUUCAGAAUCCACUCUCUUGACUCAAAAUUCAUUAUUCUGAAUUUUGAAUUUGCUGCUGCACAUGUUUAUGCUCACCUCAUAGCUAAUGCUUAUGUGCAGGUUGAAAGUUGCUCUUCAUUCUCUUCUAGUGACAUUUUGGAAAUUCGGAGUUGCAGAAAUCUUAUGGUAUACGAUUUUCUCAGCUUCAAAAAGGUACGAUAUGCAUCUCCGUUCAAUUGUGAUUUUCGAAACUGUAUGGCUGGGUAGUAGUGUAGUACAGUAGUUGCAAACAACAACCGUAUUUCUGUGUUGUUUUAGACAACUUAUGAAGUAGUAUGAAUAGGGUGUUAGUUUAAGCUAAUCUUUACCAGGGUGCUGGUAUCAUGAAUAUAUUGGUAUGCUCUUUGCAAGUCCUGGUUUAUAUAUUUACCCUUUAGUCUUAAUUAUGUUUAGUCGAAAACAGUGUUCAUUAUAACGUUGUUCCCUUGUUCAAGCUUUUACUACUUGAUAAGAUUUUGCUGCAGCUCCCGUCUAUGAAAAAAGGGGUUUUGUUUAGCUUGUGGGAAGCUUUUCCUUUUACGAAUUACCAUCAGAAUUAGUUUGCAAAUUCGCCUCAUGUUGGUGUUGCGGAGCCAAACCAGUUAUUUUGUAAUUUAGGAGCCAAGUGUAUUGAUUGACAUGGAAGAGAAUCAAUUUUUAUUACUCUUUUAUAUCCUCCGAGGAGAAAAUGAGACGUAUAAAAAUCAACUGAAUUUGAAUUUCAGUUGGCUAAAGAUACACUAGCCUGUUGAAGAAUUCGAUGAUCGUCACUAAUAGAAAUGACCACCCUAAGUAUCAGCUACAAUUUACUUACAAGUUAGACAAUACCUAUCUUUUCUUUCCUAAGGUUUAAAACAUCAUGGUACUGAUUACUGAAUGUUGCUAGCUUGUUCAGCCUAGGUGGCUGCCUUGCUGAUUCAGUAGGACACUGCUCCCUAGUUUUCAUCUGGCUUUCCUUUAGUCUUACUCAAUCUG